AAAGACUUGACGGUAUCUCACAACAACCUAGAGGAGCCUGUCAAAUAACCGAUACCCCGCGAUUAACCCCACCCACUCUGGCCUAAACAGUCUAUAUACCGCCGUCGCCAGCCCACCUUAUGAAAGAAACAAAGUGGGCCAAACAACCACCACGCUAAUACGACAGGUCGAGGUGUAACUUAUGAGUGGGACCAUGAUGGGCUACAUUUUCUAAGACAGAAAAUACGAAUAAACUAUGAAACAAGAACCUGAAGGCGGAUUUAGCAGUAUAUUAAGAAUAAAACACUUA
rnacentral:rRNA from 1 species